AUGGCUCACGGGCCCAGCCGCUCCGCGGCAUGUGGGAUCUUCCCGGACCGGGGCACGAACCCGUAUCCCCUGCAUCGGCAGGCGGACUCUCAACCACUGCGCCACCAGGUGUAAAUGCUGUCUGGGAGCCACUAAGAAGGCCUGAUGUGCUGAGGUUGCCCAUUUUUGCUGAGGGCAGGUUUGCACUGUGUGUGAAGUGAGGCUGGUGUUAGGGAGCGGGCCCUUAGCCUCCAGCUCGUGGGAUCUCAGUUCCCCAACCAGGGAUCAAGCCCGGGCCCUCAGCAGUGAGACCGUGGAGGCUUAACCACUGGACCACCAGGGAAUUCCCAGGACCAUGCUUUUUUAAGAGUUUAGAGACAAGGGAUGUAGUGUUGAUGUGAUUAAUAUCAUGGGAGAGGUUUGGCUAAGUGCAGAGGAAGCCCAGAAGAGGAGCCCUAUUGGGGGUCCUAGAGGCUUUCUGAAACCUGAUCUAAAACUUGAAACUCAAAAAGGUGAG